rnacentral:misc_RNA from 1 species
GCAGGUUGAUGUUUAAUUGGCACAAGCAUUAGAGCUUCUUUCUUGUAAGUUGUAAGACCAGCAGCCUCUUCCAUGUUGAGAUCUUCCUCCUUCAUAUUAUAAGGCAACUUCCAAUCAAAACAAAAGAGAAGGUUUGCAAGUGCAAGCUCCACUGUAACUAUUCCCAUAGAGAUUCCAGGACAGCCUCUCCUGCCACCACCAAAUGGUAACAAUUCAUAAUGCUGCCCUCUAAAGUCAAUGGGAUUGUCUAUGAACCGC